UGCCAGCACCACAGCCACUCCAUCCAGCGAUUCCACCGCCCUUCCUCGGAUCUGGACAGCCUUCAUCAGAUCUGGGCAGCAAGCUCAUCGGAUCUGGACAGCCUUCAUCAGAUCUAGACAGCAGCUCUUCCGGCGAUUCCGGCGAGCAAGCUUUCUUACAGAGUGAGAUGUCCCAACUUGCUAGAAGAAUUGACGAUGAGUUUACCAUGAUUAUACUUACCCACGGAAAUAAGAGAAGAAAGAAGUGGAAAAGUAUUCUGCCCCUUUUGCUUGCAAGUUGGCAUGGGAGGUUUUGGAAAAAUAUUAUUUACAUAUAUUUCGAUGUGGUGGACGUAGACGGCGGUCACAGGACCAGACAAAUCCAUCACCUGCCAGUGAACCUAUGCCACCCCCUAAUCAGGCAAGACCAUCCCAUAUGUCUUCUCCACCGGCAUCAUAUUCCCCUUCUAGUGUACCUAUGCCACCCCUUCACCAGUCGGACCCAUCUCAUGUACCUUCUGCACCGGUUUCAUAUUCGUCGCCGCAAGUACCAUACCCAGAGCAGUUACUUGUCCACUCAGAUCCUCCUGACUCAGCAAGAAACUCAUUUGCUGAGUUUAGGAAUGAUAGAGCUCCUUUAGUUCCCAUCGGUGAUUCAUUUGAAAAUUUGGUACAAGUUGUUCGAGAAAUAAAUAGAAUUGUGAACAAACCAUUGGGGAGGGAAUUCUAUGAUAUAUUCAAGCACUCUAUCGGCCACAAAACAACUUUGGUGGAGCGAAUUCAAAGUAUAUUUUCUUGAGUUUACUUCAAUUUUACAGUUAAUAUAUAAUAAAAUAAAUUUCCAUUUCAGCGCUUAAAUACUUGGGACCCGAAUGACGAAAUGGAAAUAUAAAAAAUAUUUAAAAAGAAAUGUGACGAUCACAUUAGACAUGUAUUAAGUCAUGCCAAGAAUCGGGGGAAAAAGUCAAACUUUAUCACCGAAGAAAAUUAGAAGAGGAUCACUAUAUUUUGGGCAACGGAGGAGAGUAAGCAAAGGAGUGACCUGAAUAGAAUGAAUCAAUCUCACAAUUUUGGUGGCUCAUGUGCUAUAUAUGCGGGAGACUCCAUUAACAUAGAUGAGCAUAGACGGAGAAUGGAAAAAUAUGAUCAACUCGAGCUAGCCCAAAUAUGCUCACAAGCUGGUAUCGAUAGUAAGGGGUUCUGCUCAAGGAUAUUGGGGAUGAGAUCUUUGAGUAGAACCCAAAGAUUAGUUGGAACAUCUUCCUCCACAUCAGCACUUACGACCCAAAUAAAUACCUUGAUUGAUGAGGUUAGCAAUCUGAAGGAAAUAAUAUCGCAAAGAGACCAAGAAAGGGUGCAAAGUCAGAAUCCUCCCAAUGACGAUGAUGAUGACUACGAUGAUAACGAUGAUGGUGGUGAUGGUUUUUGAUGAUUUUAAUUAUGGUUGGUGAGGCGAAUUAAAGGUCGAAGAAAAAAGUAAGUAUUAAGUAACAUGUUAAACUUUUAAUUUUAUUUAUUUAUUUAUUUUCUAAUUGCUUUUAAUUUAUUGAAAUUUGUUAUUACUGCAUUAUUAGUUCAAAUUCCAAAUUAUGAUUAGAGUUUAUCUAGCAACCAAGUAAUUAUGAGUACUAAAAAACUAGUAUCACCAAAUUAAACUUAACUAGUUUGUGUUUUCUUCAUUUGAGCUAUUUUCAUAUGUGAGGAAAUUUUAAGAAUACAUAUCAUGUUCUCCAUGUCACAUGGACAUAGAAUAUUUGUAACUAUUGAUUGAUAUGGUGAAAUAAGUAUUAUCAUAAUAAUUUGAUGUGCCAAUUAUAUUAGGUUGUAUCAUAUUUAUGAUACUUGUACUUAGUUUCAAGAUACUUCUUAUAAUUUUAUUUAUCAUUGCUAUGACAUGGAUGGUUCAUAUCGUUGGUAAAUAGAACAUUUAUUUGAAUGUUUAAGGAAUUUCAUAAUUAUGUCUUGUUUCCAAUCUUUCUUGUUACAUGGGCAUAUUGUAUCAUAUUUACAAUCUUUCUUGUUACACAUGAUCUGGUUUAUUUGUUUGUUGUUAUGUAGGCAAAGGAGAUUUGAGGGGGAGCAAAACUUUUGUGGCAGACGAAGAUAGACUUGAUGUAUUCUUAGUUUAUUUACCUUCUUGGAUGAAUGAUGGACUUAUAUAACAUUUGGUUGUUGAACUUGUAUAAUAUUUUCUAGAAGCUUGAAGAUAGAGAAGCUUGAGCAAGAUAGAUCUUGUAAAAUUUUUUGAAAUCUUUAUAUUUGUUGAAUUAUGAGUUGAUUUCAAUUAUUAA